CAACAAUUUACAUGGACACGUCUUCCUCAGGGCUAUGUUGACUCGCCUGCUGUGUUCUCUGCAAUCGUGCACAAAACCCUCAGCAACAUCAAGCUCCCACCAACUACGCUCAUCUCAGCCACAACGACAGCAGAGAACUGAACAGGCCUCCGUCAUUGUCUGCUUCAAGAAAGAAAGUACAGUGGGUGAGACCACAAGUCUGUUAUCUGGGACACAUUAUCUCAGAAGGCCAUUGACACCAAGCCUCACCACAACAAGUCAUCAAGUGGACUGUUGAAAUGAACUACAAAAAAGACUUCCACCUUUAUGUGCACGAGAGCGGGGGCAUUGCAGCGGGGAUACUGGCCCAGGAACACGGUACAAGUUAUCGCCCUUUGGCAUAUUUUUCCAAAACAUUAGACAACAUUACACAAGGUCUGCCUUCGAGCAGUGGCUGCUGCUGCCCUGAUGGUAUGAGAUGCUGAAAAAACGUUACACACCUCACAUCAGAGAAACCAACACACAAGUUUGUGCAGGUGCUGAUAAGGAGUCUGAAACCAGUCAAGAUCGGAGAGCCAAAAUAUCUGGGGCCGGCCAUGGUGAUUGCAGUGACAAGGAUGGGAGUGCUGACUGACCUGCAGCCGCAAUUGAUGCACGCGAGUAGACUGAAGGCUGCCCCGUGCCAAGGGGACGUUCAGAUUAAUUAGGAGAGUAAACAUAUGGCCGGAAAGGAGCUGAACACGCAGCGUUACGUCCAUAUGCGAUCUGACUAGUUAAUCUGGACCAACAUAACGUCAAGGACCAUGGAAGGAGAGAGCAGUUCAGCAGUGUUGGAGAAAACUUUGACUGCAGAAUGGGACUUGUAACAAUAACUUUGAACUCGGCUAUGCCUGCUGCCAUGACAUGGACACAUGGACGACACCAAGGAUUCUUUGAUUUGUCAUGCCAUACACAGCGUCUGGUCCGUUGUCCCUCUAACUUACAAUGCUGCCAAGACAAUCAACAUGAACUAUGUAAAAAGGACAAUGGUUCUCUAACUGGGCGACAUACUUUAAUUUGUUGUUUCCUGUUCUACUAUUUACUGUUUACUGAUGAUUUUACUGCUUUUAUGUUUGGCUCCAUGCAUAUUACAAUCCAUACAGGGAAUGAUUAAGACAAGUCCUGGAAUAAUCCAUAGAUCACAGUAUUAGAUUAUGAUUAUGUGUUUAGAUUUUGCUUGCUAUUAUUUGAAAAACAGAUUGAUCAAUUUUCUUUAAAGGGAAGCACUAAAUCAUAAAUGAUUUAAAGUGGCCAUUGUUAAAUAUUUUUUUAUUUCUUGGGCUUCACUUUCUGACUUUCUCUGUGUCUUGGGAUUUUUCCAUUGUGCAGCUCAUGUGCCUACCUAGACAAAACAACAAGCAGUAGUCCUUGGACACACUGACACUCUCACACGUAACCAGAAGUUGAAGACACACACACAUUUACGCACAUACAUUUCUUAUUUGUUAUUACAUUUUGUGAAAUGCCAUACAUGGUAAGGUUUACAUGGUAAGUCGUAUGAUUGGAUGCUCAAGCCAUCCUGGAGAUUGUUGUUUAACCUAUGUCUAUAAAUAUGACCCUUCUUCCUGAAUAAAUCUGAGAAUGCUUUGUACCACACUU